CUAUUUAACUGCCUGGCUGUCUCCAUAGUGGUGCAUUUCUUUCCAUUGGCUCUCAAUCAACAUAUACAGAAAUUUUGAAUUACACCAUGAAAAUACGUGUUGCUGUUAUCAUUUUACUCGUUUGCCUUUCUGGCAUGACGAUAAAUCAAGCAGAAGGAGGAAUAAAGAUAACAUGUCAAUGGGGAGGAUGUCCGUCAAAGAAAGCUUGUAACUUCUGUUGUGACCGCCUUAAAAAGGGAUGUAAAAGUGGAAAGUGUGUUAAAAGAAAGAAAUGGCAUCCGGUUAAACUGAAAUGUAGAUGCAAUUGUUAAUAUGGAUAAAAGAGACAACACAAGUUAUUCAAAAAAGUCUGCUUGGACGAUAAAUGGCAUAUUUUUAACAGAAUUUCAAUUGUUACAUAUAUGAAAAGGAAAUACUUUAAGUUAGUAAAAUAUGUGGUUUAUUUUCUUUAUUCAUUU